UACGUAGGGUGCGAGCGUUAAUCGGAAUUACUGGGCGUAAAGCGUGCGCAGGCGGUUCGUUGUGUCCGAUGUGAAAGCCCCGGGCUUAACCUGGGAAUUGCAUUGGAAACUGGCGAGCUUGAGUGCGGGAGAGGGGGGUGGAAUUCCGCGUGUAGCAGUGAAAUGCGUAGAGAUGCGGAGGAACACCGAUGGCGAAGGCAGCCCCCUGGGUCGACACUGACGCUCAGGCACGAAAGCGUGGGGAGCAAACAGG
rnacentral:rRNA from 1 species